UACGGGGGGGAGCAAACGUUUGUUCGGAAUCACUGGGCGUAAAGGGAGCGUAGGCGGAUAGUUUAGUCAGAGGUGAAAGCCCAGGGCUCAACCUUGGAAUUGCCUUUGAUACUGGCUAUCUUGAGUACGGAAGAGGUAUGUGGAACUCCGAGUGUAGAGGUGAAAUUCGUAGAUAUUCGGAAGAACACCAGUGGCGAAGGCGACAUACUGGUCCGUUACUGACGCUGAGGCUCGAAAGCGUGGGGAGCAAACAGG
rnacentral:rRNA from 1 species